rnacentral:pre_miRNA from 1 species
UGGACAGAUUAUUGUAUUCGACUGUAUUCACGACGUGGAAUAGGGGAUUACACUAUUUUUAAAACGGAAAGUGAAUCAAUUAACAUAAUAGACUCCU